rnacentral:tRNA from 1 species
GCUCGUGUAGCUCAGUGGUAGAGCACGUCCUUGGUAAGGACGAGGUCGCGGGUUCAAUCCCCGCCACGAGCUCCA